rnacentral:rRNA from 1 species
GGGAAUAUUGGACAAUGGGCGAAAGCCUGAUCCAGCAAUGCCGCGUGUGUGAAGAAGGUCUUCGGAUUGUAAAGCACUUUCGACGGGGACGGAUGAUGACGGUACCCGUAGAAGAAGCCCCGGCUAACUUCGUGCCAG